rnacentral:rRNA from 1 species
CGCAAUUCUAUAAAACUAAUUGGUGAAUAUUUAUAUAACUACUUAACAUAAUUCAUAUUACUAUAUAUUUUAGUAUAUGAAAUUUUACUUUGAGAAAAUUAGAGUGCUUAAAGCAGGCAUAUGCCUUGAAUACUCCAGCAUGGAAUAAUAUUAAAGAUUUUUAUCUUUCUUAUUGGUUCUAAGAUAAGAAUAAUGAUUAAUAGGGACAGUUGGGGGCAUUUGUAUUUAACAGUCAGAGGUGAAAUUCUUAGAUUUGUUAAAGACAAACUAAUGCGAAAGCAUUUGCCAAGGAUGUUUUCAUUAAUCAAGAACGAAAGUUAGGGGAUCGAAGACGAUCAGAUACCGUCGUAGUCUUAACCAUAAACUAUGCCAACUAGAGAUUGGAGGUUGUUCCUUACUUCUUCAGACCUUAA